rnacentral:rRNA from 1 species
CGGGAAGAGCUCAAAUUUAAAAUCUGGCAGGCUACGCUUGUCCGAAUUGUAAUCUCGAGAAGUGUUUUCCGCGUUGGCCUGUGUACAAGUCCCUUGGAACAGGGCGUCAUAGAGGGUGAGAAUCCCGUCCUUGACACAGACACCCAAUGCUUUGUGAUACACUCUCAAUGAGUCGAGUUGUUUGGGAAUGCAGCUCAAAAUGGGUGGUAAAUUCCAUCUAAAGCUAAAUACUGGCGAGAGACCGAUAGCGAACAAGUACCGUGAGGGAAAGAUGAAAAGCACUUUGGAAAGAGAGUCAAACAGUACGUGAAAUUGUUGAAAGGGAAACGAUUGAAGUCAGUCGUGCCUGCCUAGAUUCAGCCUUCUGGUGUAUUUCUAGGUCGGCAGGUCAGCAUCAGUUUGGGGGGGUUAACAAGGGAGCUGGGAAUGUGGCAACCUCGGUUGUGUUAUAGCC